rnacentral:rRNA from 1 species
AAGAUGGGGGGACCAUCCUCCAAGGCUAAAUACUCGUGAUCGACCGAUAGUGAACCAGUACUGUGAAGGAAAGGCGAAAAGAACCCCGGGAGGGGAGUGAAAUAGAACCUGAAACCGCAUACAUACAAACAGUAGGAGCCCGUGUAGUCGGGUGACUGCGUACCUUUUGCAUAAUGGGUCAGCGACUUACGUUUUGUGGCGAGCUUAACCGAGUAGGGGAGGCGUAGCGAAAGCGAGUUCGAAUAGAGCGAGAAGUCUCAAGGCGUAGACCCGAAACCAGAUGAGCUAUCCAUGGCCAGGUUGAAGGUGUGGUAACACACACUGGAGGACCGAACCGACUAGUGUUGCAAAAUUAGCGGAUGAGCUGUGGAUAGGGGUGAAAGGCUUAACAAAUCUGGAGAUAGCUGGUUCUCCCCGAAAACUAUUGAGGUAGUGCCUCGUGUAUUGCUCCAGGGGGUAGAGCACUGUUAUGGCUAGGGGGACAUGGCGUCUUACCAAACCAUGGCAAACUCCGAAUACUUGGAAGUAAGAGCACGGGAGACAGAGCACCGGGUGCUAACGUCCGGACUCAAGAGGGAAACAACCCAGACCGCCGUUUAAGGUCCCAAAUAUUGACUAAGUGGAAAACGAAGUGUGAAGGCUAAGACAGUCAGGAAGUUGGCUUAGAAGCAGCCAUCCUUCAAAGAAAGCGUAAUAGCUCACUGAUCGAGUCCUCAUGCGCGGAAGAUGUAACGGGGCUAAGUCAAUAACCGAAAGCGCGGAUUUGCACGAUAAGUGCAAGUGGUAGGGGAGCGUUCUGUAAGCCUGCGAAGGUGGUUCGAGAGGACUGCUGGAGGUAUCAGAAGUGCGAAUGCUGACAUGAGUAACGUUAAAGCGGGUGAAAAGCCCGCUCGCCGUAAGCCCAAGGUUUCCUGCUCUACGUUCAUCGGAGCAGGGUGAGUCGGCCCCUAAGGCCAGGCUGAGAAGCGUAGUCGAUGGGAAGCAGAUUAAUAUUUCUGCACCAUGUGCAAGUGCGAUGGGGGGACGGAGUGCGAAAGAUCAUCCGGGUGUUGGAUGUCCCGGUUUGUGAGUGUAGAAGGCCGACAGGCAAAUCCGUCGGCAGAUCUUCGAGACAAAGCAUCGAGGUUCUACGGAACCGAAGUGAUCGGAAGUGCUUCCAGGAAAAGCCUCUAAGCUCCAGCUUGCAUGUGACCGUACCGUAAACCGACACUGGUGGGCGAGUUGAAUAUACUCAGGCGCUUGAGAGAACUCGGGAGAAGGAACUCGGCAAAUUGACACCGUAACUUCGGGAUAAGGUGUGCCUUUGUAGCGUGAAGAGAGAAACACUCGGAGCGUGAAGAGGCCUCAGAGAAUCGGUGGCUGCAACUGUUUAUUAAAAACACAGCACUCUGCAAAGACGAAAGUCGACGUAUAGGGUGUGAUGCCUGCCCGGUGCUGGAAGAUUAAGUGAUGGGGUGAGAGCUCCUGAUCGAAGUCCCAGUAAACGGCGGCCGUAACUAUAACGGUCCUAAGGUAGCGAAAUUCCUUGUCGGGUAAGUUCCGACCUGCACGAAUGGCAUAAUGAUGGCCACACUGUCUCCUCCCGAGACUCAGUGAAGUUGAAAUGUUUGUGAUGAUGCAAUCUCCCCGCGGCUAGACGGAAAGACCCCAUGAACCUUUACUGUAGCUUUGCAUUGGACUUUGAACCGAUUUGUGUAGGAUAGGCGGGAGGCAGAGAAAGCGCAACGCCAGUUGUGCCGGAGCCGACGUUGAAAUACCGCCCUGAUUUGUUUGAGGUUCUAACCGCGACCCGUGAGCCGGGUUCGGGACCGUGCAUGGCAGGCAGUUUGACUGGGGCGGUCUCCUCCUAAAGGGUAACGGAGGAGUACAAAGGUACGCUAGGUACGGUCGGAAAUCGUGCUGAUAGUGCAAAGGCAAAAGCGUGCUUGACUGCGAGACCGACAAGUCGAGCAGAUGCGAAAGCAGGUCUUAGUGAUCCGGUGGCUCUGAAUGGAAGGGCCAUCGCUCAACGGAUAAAAGGUACUCUGGGGAUAACAGGCUGAUACCGCCCAAGAGUUCAUAUCGACGGCGGUGUUUGGCACCUCGAUGUCGGCUCAUCUCAUCCUGGGGCUGUAGCCGGUCCCAAGGGUAUGGCUGUUCGCCAUUUAAAGAGGUACGUGAGCUGGGUUUAAAACGUCGUGAGACAGUUUGGUCCCUAUCUGCCGUGGGCGCUGGAAGAUUGACGGGGGCUGCUCCUAGUACGAGAGGACCGGAGUGGACGCACCUCUGGUGUACCGGUUGUCACGCCAGUGGCAU